GGGUCGCUAGCUCAACUGGCUAGAGCAUCGGGCUCUUAACUCGAGGGUUGUGGGUUCGAGUCCCACGCGACCCA
rnacentral:tRNA from 1 species